rnacentral:rRNA from 1 species
CGGAGGAAAAGAAACCAACAGGGAUUGCCUCAGUAACGGCGAGUGAAGCGGCAACAGCUCAAAUUUGAAAUCUGACCCCUUCGGGGCCCGAGUUGUAAUUUGUAGAGGGUGUUUCGGGCGCGGCGCCGGUCUAAGUUCCUUGGAACAGGACGUCAUAGAGGGUGAGAAUCCCGUAUGUGACCGGCGAUCAAGCCCAUGUGAAGCCCCUUCGACGAGUCGAGUUGUUUGGGAAUGCAGCUCAAAAUGGGUGGUAAAUUCCAUCUAAAGCUAAAUAUUGGCCGGAGACCGAUAGCGGACAAGUAGAGUGAUCGAAAGAUGAAAAGCACUUUGGAAAGAGAGUCAAACAGUACGUGAAAUUGUUGAAAGGGAAGCGCUUGCAAUCAGACCGGUCCGGGGGUGAUCAGCCGCUGCUCGUCAGCUGGUGCACUCGCCCCCGAUCCGGCCAGCAUCGGUUUGGGCGGUGGGAGAAAAGCCUCGGGAAUGUAGCUUCUUUCGGGGAGUCUUAUAGCCCGGGGCGCAAUGCCGCCCGCCCGGACCGAGGACCGCGCUUCGGCUAGGAUGCUGGCGUAAUGGUUGCAAGCGACCCGUCUUGAAACACGGACCAAGGAGUCUAACAUCUAUGCGAGUGUUUGGGUGUCAAACUCAGGCGCGGAAUGAAAGUGAACGGAGGUGGGAGCCUGUCAAACGGCGCACCAUCGACCGAUCCAGAUGUCUUCGGAUGGAUUUGAGUAUGAGCAUAGCUGUUGGGACCCGAAAGAUGGUGAACUAUGCCCGGAUAGGGUGAAGCCAGAGGAAACUCUGGUGGAGGCUCGCAGCGGUUCUGACGUGCAAAUCGAUCGUCAAAUCUAGGCAUAGGGGCGAAAGACCC